CAGGCGUGUUGGGCUCCCUGGCUCAGCUGCUGCCGGUAGACGCUCCCUGGAGCCCUGGCUCAGGUCCUUCCCAGAGAGGCAGGGCUGGGGCUCUGCUGAGCCUCCGCUGUACCCGGGCCCCCGAGGUCCUGCUCCUGGCUCGCGUGGCCACUCUUGACAUGGACUCUGGGUCCCGCAUCCCUGCUCCCAGCACAGCAGGGCUCAGGCAGCAGGAGGAGUGGUGGUCCAGGCACUGCCUAUCAGGCAGGGCGAGUGUCAGCGGGGAAGCGCCACACGGGAUGAGAACAGAGGCUCCGGUAGCCGGGCGGGGGGACGGCUGGGCGUGGUGGGGCAGGCAGGCCGUGACCCGGGCUGUUCCGCAUCCUCCCGGUGCUUCCUGUGCUCACAAGCUGCCGCUUUAGAUUCUCCCGGAAAGUCUCCCUGAGGGGGCUGUGGAACCCCCGUUCCCCUAGCGGAAGCUCGACCAGCAGCCCCAGUGUCCUCAUCCCCACUCCGCAGAUUCAUGCUGCUCCUGGCCAGCCGCCACCCUGAGCAGUUGGACUGGGACGUCUAUGACCGCAUCGACAUGAUGUUUCACUUCCACCUGCCCGGGCGGGAGGAGCGGGAGCGCCUGCUGAGAUUGUAUCUCUACAAGUACAUUCUUAUGCCGGACAUAAAAGGAAAGCAGCGCCUGAAGCUGGCCCAGUUUGACUAUGGGAGGAAGUGCGAGGAGAUCGCUCGGCUGACGGAGCGCAUGUCGGGCCGGGAGAUCGAACAGCUGGCUCUGUAUUGUCAGGUGAGUCAGGCUCGGGCUCACCCACCCAGACGGGAGUCCAACUGCUGUGGAGACGCCGGGUUGCGCCUGUCCCAGCACCAGUGUCACACAGGAGCUUCUGUUGAGGGGUUUUCGGUGCACAGACGUGACGCGGGGCACCUGCCCCAGUCGGCCACUCCACACACUGGCGCGCCCCUGCUCCUGCCCUCGGAAGGGUGGGGCAUGUCCGUGGCUGACGGUCACAGGUCAGGAAGCCCGUCCGGCAUCCUAGUAUCCGGGCUCUGCCAGGUGGGCCGGGAGGCUUUCAAUGCUCACCUUGGCAGACGGGCACCCCCUGGUGUGAAUGGUCAUCCGGACAGGCCCCGCCUGAGUUUGGUGCUGGGGCUGGAGGGAUGUUGUGUUUCCCAGACCAAGGCCAUUGGCUUGGUCCUGCUUGACGGGCUCAGACACAUGGGCAGGAGUGACCUCUGAUUGUCCCACAGCCGG
rnacentral:lncRNA from 10 species